rnacentral:rRNA from 1 species
UACGUAGGGGCCUAGCGUUGUCCGGAAUUAUUGGGCGUAAAGAGCUCGUAGGCGGUGUGUCACGUCGGCCGUGAAAACCUGCAGCUUAACUGUGGGCGUGCGGUCGAUACGGGCAUCACUGGAGUUCGGCAGGGGAGACUGGAAUUCCUGGUGUAGCGGUGAAAUGCGCAGAUAUCAGGAGGAACACCGGUGGCGAAGGCGGGUCUCUGGGCCGAUACUGACGCUAAGGAGCGAAAGCGUGGGGAGCAAACAGG